rnacentral:rRNA from 1 species
AGGGGCGGACGGCUGAGUAACACGUAGGUAAUCUGCCCCGAGGAGGGGGAUAAUCCAAAGAAAUCUGGCCUAAUACCCCGUACCUUCCUCUCCAGCCUGCUGGAUUGGAAGAAAGGCCUAGGCCGCUUUGGGAGGAGCUUGCGGCUUAUCAGGUAGUUGGUGGGGUAAUGGCCUACCAAGCCGAAGACGAAUAACCGGUGUGAGAGCACGAUCGGUCAGAGGGGGACUGACACACGCCCCCCACUCCUACGGGAGGCAGCAGCGGGGAAUCUUGCGCAGUGGGAGAAAGCCUGACGCAGCGACACCGCGUGGAGGAUGAAGGUCUUAGGAUCGUAAACUCCUUUUAUCAGGGAAGAGAAAGGACGGCACCUGAUGAAUAAGGAUCGGCUAACUACGUGCCAGCAGCCGCGGUAAUACGUAGGAUCCGAGCGUUGUCCGAAUUUACUGGGCGUAAAGAGCGCGUAGGCGGUUUGUUAAGUCUCAUGUGUAAUCUCCCGGCUCAACUGGGAGGGGUCAUGGGAUACUGGCAGACUUGAGGAUAGCAGAGGAAAGCGGAAUUCCCGGAGUAGUGGUGAAAUGCGUAGAUACCGGGAG